rnacentral:tRNA from 1 species
ACUAUUUUGACAGAUUAAUGUGGUAAAUUUAGAAUUUACAAAUGUAAUAUUUAUUACAAAUAGUA